rnacentral:rRNA from 1 species
UACGUAGGGGGCAAGCGUUGUCCGGAAUCAUUGGGCGUAAAGAGCGUGUAGGCGGCCAGAAAAGUCCGCUGUGAAAACUCGAGGCUCAACUUCGAGCUGUCGGUGGAAACUUUCUGGCUAGAGUCCGGAAGAGGAGAAUGGAAUUCCAGGUGUAGCGGUGAAAUGCGUAGAUAUCUGGAGGAACACCGGUGGCGAAGGCGGCAUCCUGGACCGACACUGACGCUGAGGAGCGAAAGCCAGGGGAGCAAACGGG